GACGAACGCUGGCGGCGCGCUUAACACAUGCAAGUCGAGCGAGAACCAGGACUUCGGUCCCGGGGACAGCGGCGAACGGGUGAGUAACACGUGGAUAACCUGCCCUCGGCACCGGGAUAGCCCGGGGAAACCCGGAUUAAUACCGGAUGGCCCUUCCGGCUCACGAGCCGGUCGGAAAAGGUAGCUUCGGCCUCCGGCCGAGGAUGGGUCCGCGGCGGAUUAGCUUGUUGGUGGGGUAACGGCCUACCAGGGCUCCGAUCCGUAGCUGGUCUGAGAGGACGAUCAGCCACACUGGGACUGAGACACGGCCCAGACUCCUACGGGAGGAAGCAGUGGGGAAUCUUGCGCAAUGGGCGAAAGCCUGACGCAGCGACGCCGCGUGAGGGAGGAAGGCCUUCGGGUUGUAAACCUCUUUCAGGAGGGACGAAGCUACUCGGGUGAAUAGCCCAGAGGGUGACGGUACCUCCAGAAGAAGCCCCGGCUAACUACGUGCCAGCCGCCGCCGUAA
rnacentral:rRNA from 1 species